ensembl:lncRNA
AUGAAUAACGCAUUGCCUCAUGUUGUUUUACCUUGUUGCUGUUUUUUUUACAAGCUUGAACAAUCUGGAGAAAGUUCCAGUGCUCAGAGAUUUAACACUUACCCACCCCAAGGAGCAACAUUUUCCCCUCAGAUCCCACUUGCCCCACCUGUACAACUGCCCCUGAUUCCAAUUCCUCUUCCUUUCCCAUUUCCUAAUAAUCCAAAUCAGGUCCUGACACUUAAUGAUCUCAUAGCGGUAAAUACUGCCCUGUUAAUCUAUAAAGUUUAUAAAGACACUACAUUCAACACCUACAACAACACAUUACACUUAAGAUGAGCCAGUUCAUCAUACAAAUUACUGUCUUUAUUAAUCCAGUUCAUUUGGAAAUGAAAUAAAGCACAGUUGUUAAGUUCA